UACGUAGGGGGCAAGCGUUGUCCGGAUUUAUUGGGCGUAAAGCGCGUGUAGGUGGCCAAGUAGGUCCGCUGUGAAAACUUGAGGCUCAACCUCAAGCUGUCGGUGGAAACCCCUUGGCUAGAGUCCGGAAGAGGAGAGUGGAAUUCCUGGUGUAGCGGUGAAAUGCGCAGAUAUCAGGAAGAACACCAAUGGCGAAGGCAGCUCUCUGGGACGGUACUGACACUGAGACGCGAAAGCUAGGGGAGCAAACAGG
rnacentral:rRNA from 1 species